rnacentral:rRNA from 1 species
ACGAACGCUGGCGGCUGCUUAACACAUGCAAGUCGAACGGAGUGGCGAACGGGUGAGUAACGCGUGAGCAACCUGCCUAUGACAGUGGGAUAGCCUCGGGAAACCGGGAUUAAUACCGCAUAGUCAUAGAUGGGCUCGCGUCUGAUUAGCUAGUUGGUGAGAUAACAGCCCACCAAGGCGACGAUCAGUAGCCGGCCUGAGAGGGUGACCGGCCACAUUGGGACUGAGAUACGGCCCAGACUCCUACGGGAGGCAGCAGUGGGGGAUAUUGCACAAUGGGCGAAAGCCUGAUGCAGCGACGCCGCGUGGGGGAUGAAGGCUUUCGGGUUGUAAACCUCUUUCCUAUCGAACACUAUAGGGUGGGUUGAGGGUAGGUGGAGAAGAAGCGCCGGCUAACUACGUGCCAGCAGCCGCGGUAAUUC